GUGUGAUGGAGAAUAUCAAAGAUGACUUAUAUCAACUGUGCCUCCUCCCACCCUCUGAAGGAGAAAAUUGUUAACAAUACAGCUAUUAGGAACCUAUGGGUCAAGAGGUUUUACAGCACAGGUCUUACCCUGGCACCAAAGCCGAUGAAGACUACCAGACAUGAAGUGCAGGAUUGAUUUCCUUUUAUUGAAGUGCUUCAACAAAGGGGGUCCCGGCCAAAAAAAUGCCAGAACCCACAACAAAGGAUUCAACAAGCUUUUAUAGUUUUUUUAAGGUGGGAUAAAAAAAACUGUCUAAUAAGCUUUUUGAAAGUUAUCUAAAGAGUCCUCUAUUGGCUCUACACCAUCCCUAUUUCUAAGUCUUAACUAAUAAACACUUCAAAAGUUA